ACUCAAAGGAAUUGACGGGGGCCCGCACAAGCGGUGGAGCAUGUGGUUUAAUUCGACGCAACGCGCAGAACCUUACCAGCCCUUGACAUGUCGUGCUACGCGCAGAGAUGCGCGGUCCCCGCAAGGGGCGCGAACACAGGUGCUGCAUGGCUGUCGUCAGCUCGUGUCGUGAGAUGUUGGGUUAAGUCCCGCAACGAGCGCAACCCUUGCCUUCAGUUGCCAUCAUUCAGUUGGGCACUCUGGAGGGACUGCCGGCGGUAAGCCGGAGGAAGGUGGGGAUGACGUCAAGUCCUCAUGGCCCUUACGGGCUGGGCUACACACGUGCUACAAUGGUGGCGACAGAGGGCGCAGGCGAGAGCGCAAGCUUUAGCAAAUCCUCAAAAGCCAUCUCAGUUCAGAUUGCGCUCUGCAACUCGGGCGCAUGAAGGUGGAAUCGCUAGUAAUCGCAGAACAGCAGGCUGCGGUGAAUACGUUCCCGGGCCUUGCACACACCGCCCGU
rnacentral:rRNA from 1 species